ACUUAUUCAUCUGUCUCUCUCUUACACAAUUUACUUGUAAUAAAUUUUUCCCUUUUUCUGCACAUGUAUUUUGAAUUGAUGCCACUAUGUUAUGACAUUUCCCGCUUCUUUAUAUAAUCUCUCUUGUUAACUUUAUCUUCCUCGCAUAAAUCUCUUAGACGAAAUUAACUUAGCAACUCCGCGAGCGCAAUUGUAUACUAACUGCUUCGAACCAUCAACUUUCGAACGAUAACAUUCUAACAACUUGUAACCUUAAGGUAAUGAACCUCAGCGUGAAAUCACCUUUCAAGUAACGAGCUUCAACCCAACUAA
rnacentral:lncRNA from 1 species